CGCAGCCGCGGUAAUUCCAGCUCCAAUAGCGUAUAUUAAAGUUGUUGCAGUUAAAAAGCUCGUAGUUGAAUUUCGGGAUCAAUUUAUUGGUCGUGCUAUUGUACGUACUGGUAUUAUUGAUUCCUACCUUCUGACGAACCAUGAUGUCAUUAAUUUGGUGUCUUGGGGAAUCAGGACUGUUACUUUGAAAAAAUUAGAGUGUUUAAAGCAGGCUCACGCUUGAAUACAUUAGCAUGGAAUAACGAAAUAGGACGUUUGAUUCUAUUUUGUUGGUUUCUAGGAUCGACGUAAUGAUUAAUAGGGAUAGUUGGGGGCAUUAGUAUUCAAUUGUCAGAGGUGAAAUUCUUGGAUUUAUUGAAGACUAACUACUGCGAAAGCAUUUGCCAAGGAUGUUUUCAUUAAUCAAGAACGAAAGUUAGGGGAUCGAAGACGAUCAGAUACCGUCGUAGUCUUAACCAUAAACUAUGCCGACUAGGGAUCGGAUGAUGUUAAUUUUUAAUGUACUCAUUCGGCGCCUUAC
rnacentral:rRNA from 1 species